AAUGUAAAACCAUCACCCCACCCCCCUCACAUUUAUUAGAAAAUUUAAUGAAAUAGGUGGCUUUUAACAACGCUUACAAGCGUGGGUAGGUUAGAUUUCAAGACAAUGAUUUAAACAUUGUCUCCACAGCUUUGAUUGGGAUAAGGGUUUAUGGCUUUGAGAUGCCUUUCAUCAAAGCAGUCCUUUCUUGUGCCAUUGAGAUGCCAUGGACUAGAUUGGGAUUAGGGUUUAUGGUUUGAGGUUAGAAGUUUUAGAGAAUUUUUUUGAGAGGAUUUGUUAGGGAUUUGGUUGGAUUCUGCACUCAAAAGGGGCCUCAAUGUGUUGAAUUUUUGGUUGAGGCUGGGUUGAGAGAGAGAGCUAAGACAUCAUACUGUGAGCAGAGGUUGGAAAAGAGGCCUUUUUGGUUGAGGAUUUGCUAAUGCCGUUGAUCCGAGCAUAAAUGACGAUGCAUGCUCAUAGCAACCUAUCACGAUGUUAGAGGUUAAAGGGGAUGUAUUUGUACAAGAAGUUAUCGCUGAAGAAGUGUUAUGAGGUUAAGAACGUCAUGCCUCGAAAAUGUUUUAGAGGUAUGGAAUUUCAGCAUUCUCUGUCUGGAUCUUUUAGUCAGUUUGAUGAGCCCUAGCAAUCUCAACAACCAGAUAAGCCGUAACAUGA